UAAAUUUUGAGCUACUUGUUUAACUUCCCUCAGUUUCAGUUUAUUCAUCUCUGAAAUGGCAAAAGUAUAUCUAGCUCACAGGCAUGUGAGGACUCUUCUCAGCCUGCUACAGGCACAGCAUUGUUGCAGCAUAACCGUGUACUAUAUUAAUGUCACAAAAGUGACCACCGAUAGACUGUUCUUUACUCUGUGUCUCUUUCCAAGAACAAAGAAACUUUUCCCUAAAGACCCUAAGCAAACUUCUUUUAAUAGCUUUUUGCCAUAAUUAUGUCAUAUAAAUCAAUCAAUGGCAAGGAGAAUGGAAUUAUCAUGAUUGACUAUCAUAAUCAGUAUUUACUCCCAAGGAACACUAAAUGAGACAAUAUAGGCAGCUUCCUUAGCACCGUCCCUUAGCACAAAAUGUCGGCAUUCAGUAAAUGUGAAGGAUGUUCUCCAUUAGUCAAGAAAUAGGCAUAUUCUGUGGAAUUAUGAAGGCAACCACCAAAAGAAAUAACACUGGGCCAGAUAAAAUACAGUUUCUCCUGUAAACUGUGUCUGUGUUAAAAGAGAAAGGGGAAGAUCAUAUUUUCUUUUUA
rnacentral:lncRNA from 1 species